UAGAUUCACUCAUUUUGCUUUGUAGUCCAUAUUGGAAUCUCUAAAAGGUCUUAUAUUUAGGAACGCAGUACUUUGUUACAAACAGGGAAUAAGCGGUAGACAUAAACUUCAAUUAACAGUAUGUGGUGCGAGCCUACUGGCGAGCCCAUCCUAUCAUGGGCAUCGGACCAAACCUAUUCAUCUCGAGAAGACCGUGAUACCAAUAUGGCUUGGGCACUGGCCAUCUGCAAUCCAAAUUUUGUUUCCAAUGUAAGCCAGGUGCUGAGUAAUUGAACACUACGAACAAACAUAUGGCACUGAGAAACCAUAAGAAUACCUGCAUUUGUUGUUCACAUCUGGUUUGUCCAAUCUGAGCACAGAGCGGUCGGUAGUUAAGCGCCAUGUGCUAUGUAAGACUUCACGAAUUUGCUUACAAGGCAGGUAGGGAGUUCUAUCAGGCCUUCCAUCACAAAAGUUCAUGCCAACAAGACGCCCAUUAAAGAAGUUUAUCAGGGGGCCUCCAAUACCAACCUUGUACAAAAACAGCAGUCAUAAAAUAAGCUAGGUUAGUACAUGCAUUGGUAGGGUAAAGUCACAAACCCCUGGGUAUGAAAGGCAAGAGAACUUCACCGGCAUACCUUCGAGAUUUUACAAUUGGACAGCUUAAGUUGCUGGCAACCAAAUGUGCUAGGCCAGUGCAGGUCUUCAUCACAAAGUAUACCCAUUGAGGCACAUAACACUCCUUUGGGCUCACGCCCUAUAGCUACCACCCUUCUGGGUAAAGGAUUCUCUUGGUUACUCAUGGGAUCAUCAAAUUUCAUAUCUUCUGGACAAAUAUCACGCAAACCCUUAACGGUGACAAUAGCAAUAUUAUAUCCGGAAUGAUAUGAUUCCAGUGUCCCAUUCAAGCGCUGAUUCGGUGGGAGAAACACCUCAAUCUGCAGGUGAAGUGAACUCAACUGUUACACCUUGUAUUUAACCUGAAGACGGAGGAAAAUCGACAAGGAGGUAGGAGCACCAACCCUCAUAUUCUCAUCAAAUUUGUCUGUAACAUCACAAGUUCUAACCAAACUGGCCGAAGUCACAAUCACAUUGCGUGUGCGCCCUUUUCUUGGCGGACCCCUUAUAAGGAAGCCUGAGCAUGAAAAAAAACUCGUACCCUCUCCUACAUAUGACAAGUUUGGUCGUUAGGAUGAAAUACUAGGUAGGAAAAAAGUAACGGUUCAACUGUUAAAAUCACCAUUGAACGAAACAAGUGAGAUAACACGAUUGGAUAUAGUUGCAACUAUCUUCUUAUCAAGCCUCUGCCAGGCAUUCUUUCCAUGACCGUGCAACAUAUCGAAGUUUUUAUAACCUUUCCAAGCAUGUAACCAACCAAACACUUCCUCAAAUGUCCUAACCAGGCGCCCAUUCACUGUUCAAAGAAACAAGCACAGAAUUAGUUAUUGCUACAAUAGUUAUAUGAAAAUGCACAAUGCAGAAGCCGGCAACAUCAAAAGCAACAACAUACAUUCCAGCAUAAGUGGUGGUGGUUUAGGGUAGCCCAUGGAUUCUAGCCACUCCCAGGUAUCCAUAAAUCCUGGUGUAUAAGGUGAUCAAUAUUAGUACUCAGAUGUGCCGUGCAAUGAUCAAUAGGUAAAAAGAUAGCACAUAGUUCACACCUGAAGGGAUUAUUCUGGAAGCACCUGGAGGAGGUUCAUAAGAUCCCUGCCUGCUAUUGCUGGUUUUUCCCAUUGACAAACCUAAAAUGGAGAAGAUGAAUGAGGACACACUAAAAAAUGUAUCAAGAACAGGUAAGCAUAUCCAUGGACUACAUGUUAAAGAAAUGAUGAUAAUUAUGACUAGAAAAUAAUAAUGAUUGUGCCAUGCUCACCUGCACAAUAAGGUGGCAUUUUCUCUCCAUAACCUUUUCCAGGACUGCAAUAGACACAGCAGGGCUGUUGUUGGGACAUCCAGUGCGAGUGCAGAGGGGGUCUGUGCGGGUGGCCCGCUUUAUUGCCUCCUAUCAUCAGUUAUACCUAAUCCUUCACUCAAAAACGCAUCACAUGCCAUUCAACCUGCCAAAACGCAUGAUGACCAUCAAAAGGAUUUGGUCGAGGAGUGGUGGUCAUGAAAUGGGCGACAAAAUUAGUUUGAUGUAUGUUUGUCGUAUUAUUGACUAUUUGUUGCAUUGUUCAUGAACUGUUUGUUGUAUUGAAAGAUAAACUAUUUGUUUGAGUUGUAAUAACUAUUUGUUGCAUUGUUCAUGAACUAUUUAUUAUUAAUUUAUUUUAUGUGUUCGAUCUUCUUGGUUCUAUGUUGAAGAAAAAAUGUUGUUUGUGCUAGACGUGUUACCACGCCUGCUAGAGACCUGCAAUAUAUAACGCCUCUAGUAAAGCAAAACACCUGCCAAGCGCACCAAGGCCUUGUACAAUGGGAGGUGCUUAGGGAGAUACUUAGUUAAAUAAACCAAAUUUUUCUUAAGCACCUAUGCUUAUUUCUAUAGGACAGACGUUUAGUUAAGCGUCUACCCUCUACAAAUAAGCACCGGUGCUCAGAGAAAAAUUGAUUUAUUUCUCUAAAGCACCUAUCCCAAGCACCUUGCAUUAUACAGGGCCUAAAAACGCUAUUUUGGCGCUGCAAAAAAAAAAUUAACGCCCCGCGCAACCGCACGUCUGUUGGAGAUACUCUUAGAGAUUUAAAUACAAACUACAUACGGAUGUAUAUAAACAUAUUUUAUAGUGUAGAUUCACUCAUUUUGCUUUGUAGUCCAUAUUGGAAUCUCUAAAAGGUCUUAUAUUUAGGAACGCAGUACUUUGUUACAAACAGGGAAUAAGCGGUAGACAUAAACUUCAAUUAACAGUAUGUGGUGCGAGCCUACUGGCGAGCCCAUCCUAUCAUGGGCAUCGGACCAAACCUAUUCAUCUCGAGAAGACCGUGAUACCAAUAUGGCUUGGGCACUGGCCAUCUGCAAUCCAAAUUUUGUUUCCAAUGUAAGCCAGGUGCUGAGUAAUUGAACACUACGAACAAACAUAUGGCACUGAGAAACCAUAAGAAUACCUGCAUUUGUUGUUCACAUCUGGUUUGUCCAAUCUGAGCACAGAGCGGUCGGUAGUUAAGCGCCAUGUGCUAUGUAAGACUUCACGAAUUUGCUUACAAGGCAGGUAGGGAGUUCUAUCAGGCCUUCCAUCACAAAAGUUCAUGCCAACAAGACGCCCAUUAAAGAAGUUUAUCAGGGGGCCUCCAAUACCAACCUUGUACAAAAACAGCAGUCAUAAAAUAAGCUAGGUUAGUACAUGCAUUGGUAGGGUAAAGUCACAAACCCCUGGGUAUGAAAGGCAAGAGAACUUCACCGGCAUACCUUCGAGAUUUUACAAUUGGACAGCUUAAGUUGCUGGCAACCAAAUGUGCUAGGCCAGUGCAGGUCUUCAUCACAAAGUAUAGGUUCACCCAUUGAGGCACAUAACACUCCUUUGGGCUCACGCCCUAUAGCUACCACCCUUCUGGGUAAAGGAUUCUCUUGGUUACUCAUGGGAUCAUCAAAUUUCA
rnacentral:lncRNA from 1 species